rnacentral:rRNA from 1 species
GCUCCCUGAUUCAGCGGCGGACGGGUGAGUAAUGCCUAGGAAUCUGCCUGGUAGUGGGGGACAACGUUUCGAAAGGAACGCUAAUACCGCAUACGUCCUACGGGAGAAAGCAGGGGACCUUCGGGCCUUGCGCUAUCAGAUGAGCCUAGGUCGGAUUAGCUAGUUGGUGAGGUAAUGGCUCACCAAGGCGACGAUCCGUAACUGGUCUGAGAGGAUGAUCAGUCACACUGGAACUGAGACACGGUCCAGACUCCUACGGGAGGCAGCAGUGGGGAAUAUUGGACAAUGGGCGAAAGCCUGAUCCAGCCAUGCCGCGUGUGUGAAGAAGGUCUUCGGAUUGUAAAGCACUUUAAGUUGGGAGGAAGGGCAGUAAGCUAAUACCUUGCUGUUUUGACGUUACCGACAGAAUAAGCACCGGCUAACUUCGUGCCAGCAGCCGCGGUAAUACGAAGGGUGCAAGCGUUAAUCGGAAUUACUGGGCGUAAAGCGCGCGU